UAAGUGGAGAGUUUGAUCCUGGCUCAGAACGAACGCUGGCGGCGUGCCUAACACAUGCAAGUCGAACGAGAAACUCCGGGCUUGCUCGGAGAAGUACAGUGGCGCACG
rnacentral:rRNA from 1 species